rnacentral:rRNA from 1 species
UACGGAGGGGGCUAGCGUUGUUCGGAAUUACUGGGCGUAACGCGCACGCAGGCGGCUUUGUAAGUUAGAGGUGAAAGCCCGGGGCUCAACUCCGGAAUUGCCUUUAAGACUGCAUCGCUAGAAUUGUGGAGAGGUAAGUGGAAUUCCGAGUGUAGAAGUGAAAUUCGUAGAUAUUCGGAAGAACACCAGUGGCGAAGGCGACUUACUGGACACAUAUUGACGCUGAGGUGCGAAAGCGUGGGGAGCAAACAGG